AUGAAGUCGGAAUUGCUAGUAAUCGCGGAUCAGCAUGCCGCGGUGAAUACGUUCCCGGGCCUUGUACACACCGCCCGUCACACCAUGAGAGUUGGCAACACCCGAAGUCAGUAGGCUAACGCAAGAGGCCGCUGCCGAAGGUGGGGUUGACGAUUGGGGUGAAGUCGUAACAAGGUACC
rnacentral:rRNA from 1 species